GCUUCCCUCUUUCUUCGCGCCUAAUACAUGCAAGUCGAGCGAACAGAUGAGGAGCUUGCUGCUCUGACGUUAGCGGCGCACGGGUGAAUAACGCGUGGAUACCCCACCUAUAAGCCUGGGAUACCUUCGGGACACCGGCGCUAAUACCGGAUCAUAUAUUGAACCGCAUGGUUCAUUAAUGAAAGACCGUUUUGCUGUCACUUCUAGAUGUAUCCGCGCCGCAUUAGCGAGUUGGUAAGGUAACGGCUUACCAAGGCAACGAUGCGUAGCCGACCGGAGAUGGUGAUCCGCCACACGGUAACAGACAGACGGUGCGGACUCCUAAGGAAGGCAGCAGUAGGGAAUCUGCCGCAAGAGGCGAAUGCCGCACAGUGCAACGCCGCGUGAUUGAUGAAGGGCUUCUGGUGGUAAAACGCUGUUGUUAUGGAAGAACAAAUCUGUAGGGAACUAUCCACGUCUUGACGUUACCUAAUCAGAAAGCCACGGCUAACUACGUG
rnacentral:rRNA from 1 species